rnacentral:tRNA from 1 species
GGGGAAUUAGCUCAGCUGGCUAGAGCGCCUGCCUUGCACGUAGGAGGUCAUCGGUUCGACUCCGAUAUUCUCCA